rnacentral:rRNA from 1 species
GACAGAGGUCCCGAGCGUUGUUCGGAUUCACUGGGCGUAAAGGGUGCGUAGGCGGUUGGGUAAGUCCGACGUGAAAUCCCGUGGCUUAACCACGGAAUUGCGUUGGAAACUAUCCAGCUCGAGGGUUGGAGAGGGGACUGGAAUUCUCGGUGUAGCAGUGAAAUGCGUAGAUAUCGAGAAGAACACCGGUGGCGAAGGCGAGUCCCUGGACAACUCCUGACGCUGAGGCACGAAAGCUAGGGGAGCAAAUAGG